rnacentral:rRNA from 1 species
ACACAGCACUCUGCUAACUCGUAAGAGGAUGUAUAGGGUGUGACGCCUGCCCGGUGCUCGAAGGUUAAUUGAUGGGGUUAGCAUUAGCGAAGCUCUUGAUCGAAGCCCGAGUAAACGGCGGCCGUAACUAUAACGGUCCUAAGGUAGCGAAAUUCCUUGUCGGUUAAAUACCGACCUGCAUGAAUGGCGUAACGAGAUGGGAGCUGUCUCAAAGAGGGAUCCAGUGAAAUUGUAGUGGAGGUGAAAAUUCCUCCUACCCGCGGCAAGACGGAAAGACCCCGUGGACCUUUACUACAGCUUGACACUGCUAUUUGGAUAAGAAUGUGCAGGAUAGGUGGGAGGCUUUGAGUAUAUGACGCCAGUUGUAUAUGAGCCAUUGUUGAGAUACCACUCUUUCUUAUUUGGGUAGCUAACCAGCUUGAGUUAUCCUCAAGUGGGACAAUGUCUGGUGGGUAGUUUGACUGGGGCGGUCGCCUCCCAAAUAAUAACGGAGGCUUACAAAGGUUGGCUCAGAACGGUUGGAAAUCGUUCGUAGAGUAUAAAGGUAUAAGCCAGCUUAACUGCAAGACAUACAAGUCAAGCAGAGACGAAAGUCGGUCUUAGUGAUCCGGUGGUUCUGUGUGGAAGGGCCAUCGCUCAAAGGAUAAAAGGUACCCCGGGGAUAACAGGCUGAUCUCCCCCAAGAGCUCACAUCGACGGGGAGGUUUGGCACCUCGAUGUCGGCUCAUCGCAUCCUGGGGCUGGAGCAGGUCCCAAGGGUAUGGCUGUUCGCCAUUUAAAGCGGUACGCGAGCUGGGUUCAGAACGUCGUGAGACAGUUCGGUCCCUAUCUGCCGUGGGCGUAAGAAGAUUGAAGAGAUUUGACCCUAGUACGAGAGGACCGGGUUGAACAAACCACUGGUGUAGCUGUUGUUCUGCCAAGAGCAUCGCAGCGUAGCUAAGUUUGGAAAGGAUAAACGCUGAAAGCAUCUAAGCGUGAAGCCAACUCUAAGAUGAAUCUUCUCUAAGCUCUCUAGAAGACUACUAGUUUGAUAGGCUGGGUGUGUAAUGGAUGAAAGUCCUUUAGCUGACCAGUACUAAUAGAGCGUUUGGCUUAUCUUUAAUAAAGCAU